ensembl:miRNA
GCCCCCAACCCUCCUUGGGGAGUGAUGCUCAGUCUGUGAUUUCAAGCUGGGGGUGCUUUUCUGUGACUGGUGAAAAGCACCUGCAGGGCUUGAACCCCACAGUUUGAGAGCAAGCAUCUAAGGAGGUUGAUGGC